GAUGAAGAACGCAGCGAAAUGCGAUAAGUAGUGUGAAUUGCAGAAUUCAGUGAAUCAUCGAAUCUUUGAACACACAUUGCGCCCCUUGGUAUCCCGAGGGGCAUGCCUGUUCGAGCGUCAUUUCACCACUCAAGCCUGGCUUGGUGUUGGGCGACGUCCUCUUUGGGGACGCGCCUCGAAACGCUCGGCGGCGUGGCACCGGCUUUAAGCGUAGCAGAAUCUUUCGCUUUGGAAGUCGGGGCCCCGUCUGCCGGAAGACCUGCUCGCAAGGUUGACCUCGGAUCAGGCAGGGAUACCCGCUGAACUUAAGCAUAUCAAUAAGCGGAGGA
rnacentral:misc_RNA from 1 species